CGACAGCAAUCAAAAAUUAAAUCAGAGAGGCGUUCUUUUUUUAUCUCGAUAAUCAAAAUUUUAAUAUUUGCACUGUGUGUGGCAACGCACAACUCACGAGCUCCCCUUCGUUGGCAAAUUUGGCGGUGUGUCACGGUUUUCGCGGUCCUGGCUGCAAAUACGGGCGAGUUAUAGGAUCCGUGCUCUCGGUGGGGUAACCGCCGAGCGCUGUAAAUUAUCUAAUUUUCAAUGUCGGUUCGGUUCCCAGCCGCCCCCAUUUGGGGUGCUGAUUGGAUUUCAGUAUUGUUCCUAAUCUCCGCCCCACGCGCCUGCCACCCUGCCACACAAUUUGGUUGUUUGCAUUCGAUUUGUUCCUCGCCAGGGUGUUUCGUUAUCUCUUAUUAUACUAAUUUCUGGCCAUAUUGCAAACAGUGUUCCAUCUAAAGGUAAUUUUGUUUAAUUUGAAGCCACAACUUAAGCACUUUUGGCAUCGUAAACUUAAGAACAAGACCCAUUCUUCUUGUCACGGCCAUAAAGUGGACAAUUCAGGUGAACUAUGGAGUGUUGAUAAGCCAAAGGUUCUAGCACAGCACAUGUGUGCGAGCCCAUAUCCAGUCACCUGCCAGACCCAAAUCCAGCCGUGACUGCCGAUGUGAGGGCCGUUUAAUAAGGCACGGAUUAUCGCCCGGCAUUAUUUCAAUCACAUACCAAGUGUCGAGUAUUUAGCAGACAAGGAGCACGCGCUCGCCUCCACUGCCCGUUCCAUUUCCAGGGUACCAUCCCUGCUCCUGUCAGGCCGAGGCGUCAGUUGACGUCGGGAGCGGGGCGGAGCGGUCCUUCCUAAAAAGCCAAUAAAAAUACUUUGUUUGACAAAUAAAAGCCACAGUGAGAGAGGGGCUUUUGGCGAUAAAACGCUUCAAGAUAUCGGGCGGAGCGCCGAGGUUCGUUCGUUCACAAGGCCUGGCAGGUCGCACAUGUGUGGAUGUGCCGGCGGUUUGGGAUCUGCUGCUUGUGCCGGGUCUUCACAUCGUUUGGCUUUAAGAGCCAGUUAAAGUGCCCCGUGACCGUUUGGUGUCUGUGUUUCUGGCUCUGUCUCUGCUUGGGCGGCACAUCCGGUGGACUGGAGGUCGUCGGACAGUAGGAACGUAUGCUACAUUCUGUGGGUAUCUAGGAAAUCAGCUGCCAUAUUGUCGAGUAGGGUCUACUAGCACACCUGCAGCACAAUGAGUAUGGUAAUAUAGGUGAUACCCAGUAAAAUUACCAUUCCAUGCUAAAGGAAGCUGGAUUUUUUCCUCGAGAGGCAAAGGAACUGCUUGCUCA